GCGGUUCCUACCGGGGGAGGUUGAACCUUGCUCCUUGGGUGACGAGUGGCGGACGGGUGAGUAAUGUCUGGGAAACUGCCCGAUGGAGGGGGAUAACUACUGGAAACGGUAGCUAAUACCGCAUAACGUCGCAAGACCAAAGAGGGGGACCUUCGGGCCUCUUGCCAUCGGAUGUGCCCAGAUGGGAUUAGCUAGUAGGUGGGGUAACGGCUCACCUAGGCGACGAUCCCUAGCUGGUCUGAGAGGAUGACCAGCCACACUGGAACUGAGACACGGUCCAGACUCCUACGGGAGGCAGCAGUGGGGAAUAUUGCACAAUGGGCGCAAGCCUGAUGCAGCCAUGCCGCGUGUAUGAAGAAGGCCUUCGGGUUGUAAAGUACUUUCAGCGAGGAGGAAGGUGUUGUGGUUAAUAACCGCAGCAAUUGACGUUACUCGCAGAAGAAGCACCGGCUAACUCCGUGCCAGCAGCCGCGGUAAUACGGAGGGUGCAAGCGUUAAUCGGAAUUACUGGGCGUAAAGCGCACGCAGGCGGUCUGUCAAGUCGGAUGUGAAAUCCCCGGGCUCACCUGGGAACUGCAUCCGAAACUGGCAGGCUAGAGUCUUGUAGAGGGGGGUAGAAUUCCAGUGUACGGUGAAAUGCUAAAGAUCUGGAGGAAUACCGUGGG
rnacentral:rRNA from 1 species